rnacentral:lncRNA from 1 species
CACAGCAAAGAGAGGAGAUGAGCGAGGGAAGGAAGCAGGUGAGGCACUCACGCAACCUGCACUCCCUGCGUCCCCUCUGUGAGCUAGACACCAGGCAGGAAGCGGCGGGCCCCUCUCCAGUUAGUCUAGUGGGGGGCUAGGCAUCAAAGGAAUUAUUACAGUGCCCUGUGGGAAAUGCUGAAAAAAGAGGAAUAAACGACCAACUCUCUUGACUGGGCAGGGAGGAGGAAAAGGAGGAACACAGUGGAUGUGGCAACGGGGAGAGGCCUUCCCGGUGGAGGAUUCCAUGUGGGAGGGGCCUGGCCUGCACCCAGUGGGCUGGCUGCUGGGUGGUGGGGCAGGAGUGGGAGGGGAGGCUUGACCUAAGGGACCAGGUCACAAAGGGCCUUGCAUGUCACGUGGAGUAGGGCUUAGCCAGAUUUUAAGCAAGGCAGCAAUAUCCUAGUUUCCUCGGAGGAGACCAGAAAAAAACAUGGCAAGCAAAUAGUAACAGCGCCAAACUCAGUGCUUAACUGAGGAUAAGGGCUCACCCUUUUGUGGAGCUAGAUACCAGCGCCAUCUUUUUUACAAUUUAGACUUCGCUAAGUGCCUCAAUACAGGGACUUCUUUUAAUCUUACCAACCCUGUGAAGCAAGCAAGACAGGACUGUGAAGUAUUUCCGAGUGGUGCUGACCGUGGGUGGAGUCAGCAUCGCGGAAGAACUACAGUGGAGGGAAUGACGCCCCCCAACUCAGGAGUUCACCAGCAAACAGGAGGCACGGAACACAAAGCAGCUAAAUCGUGGGGCAGCAAGUGUCACAGGAGACAGGGGUUACAACGGGAGUGUGUGAUCACACCUACGGCCAGGCAGACCCUUCACCCUCCACAGGCACCCAUGAGGCUGCCCUGUCCACUGGAAUAACUCAUGUGUGAGGGGAAAUCCCUGGAAAUGGUUAAUUUAUGAAGUGCCUUAAGGAGUCUGACAAAGCAGAAAAAGGAGGAGGGUCAAGGGUACAGAUUGAAAAAGAGGCAGAAAAGUGUGGGUGCCUGGGGAGCUGUUAGGAAAGAGACAGUUGGGACCGCAGUCUGGGGACUAUGCCAUUGCCAUUUUGUGUGCCAGGCUGAGCAGUAUAAAGUCUGCACGUAGAAC